ACGAACGCUGGCGGCACGCUUAACACAUGCAAGUCGAACGAGAGAAGAGGAGCUUGCUUUUCUGAUCUAGUGGCGGACGGGUGAGUAACACGUGAGCAAUCUGCCUUUCAGAGGGGGAUACCGAUUGGAAACGAUCGUUAAUACCGCAUAACAUAAUUGAACCGCAUGAUUUGAUUAUCAAAGAUUUAUCGCUGAAAGAUGAGCUCGCGUCUGAUUAGCUAGUUGGUAAGGUAACGGCUUACCAAGGCGACGAUCAGUAGCCGGACUGAGAGGUUGAUCGGCCACAUUGGGACUGAGACACGGCCCAGACUCCUACGGGAGGCAGCAGUGGGGAAUAUUGCACAAUGGAGGAAACUCUGAUGCAGCGAUGCCGCGUGAGGGAAGAAGGUUUUAGGAUUGUAAACCUCUGUCUUCAGGGACGAAAAAAGACGGUACCUGAGGAGGAAGCUCCGGCUAACUACGUGCCAGCAGCCGCGGUAAUACGUAGGGAGCGAGCGUUGUCCGGAAUUACUGGGUGUAAAGGGAGCGUAGGCGGGAUCGCAAGUCAGAUGUGAAAACUAUGGGCUUAACCCAUAAACUGCAUUUGAAACUGUGGUUCUUGAGUGAAGUAGAGGUAAGCGGAAUUCCUAGUGUAGCGGUGAAAUGCGUAGAUAUUAGGAGGAACAUCAGUGGCGAAGGCGGCUUACUGGGCUUUAACUGACGCUGAGGCUCGAAAGCGUGGGGAGCAAACAGGAUUAGAUACCCUGGUAGUCCACGCCGUAAACGAUGAUUACUAGGUGUGGGGGGACUGACCCCUUCCGUGCCGCAGCAAACGCAAUAAGUAAUCCACCUGGGGAGUACGACCGCAAGGUUGAAACUCAAAGGAAUUGACGGGGGCCCGCACAAGCAGUGGAGUAUGUGGAUUAAUUCGAAGCAACGCGAAGAACCUUACCAGGUCUUGACAUCGUAUGCAUAGCUCAGAGAUGAGUGAAAUCUCUUCGGAGACAUAUAGACAGGUGGUGCAUGGUUGUCGUCAGCUCGUGUCGUGAGAUGUUGGGUUAAGUCCCGCAACGAGCGCAACCCUUACUGUUAGUUGCUACGCAAGAGCACUCUAGCAGGACUGCCGUUGACAAAACGGAGGAAGGUGGGGAUGACGUCAAAUCAUCAUGCCCCUUAUGACCUGGGCCUCACACGUACUACAAUGGCUGUCAACAGAGGGAAGCAAAGCCGCGAGGUGGAGUAAACCCCUAAAAGCAGUCUUAGUUCGGAUUGUAGGCUGCAACCCGCCUACAUGAAGUCGGAAUUGCUAGUAAUCGCAGAUCAGCAUGCUGCGGUGAAUACGUUCCCGGGCCUUGUACACACCGCCCGUCACGCCAUGGGAGUCGGUAACACCCGAAGCCUGUAGUCUAACCGCAAGGAGGACGCAGUCGAAGGUGGGAUUGAUGACUGGGGUG
rnacentral:rRNA from 1 species